rnacentral:lncRNA from 1 species
CCUACAUGACGCUCCUCCGACCAGGUUUUUUUUGUAGAACCAAUCUGUUUUGAUUUUAGUGUUGUUGUGUAUCAGCAAUAAAUCUAGGAAAUUGAUGGCGUUAUUAUCUUCUAUUUCAAUGGUGAAUUGUAGUCGUGGAUGAUAUUGGUUGAAAAUAUUCAAUGUGUAAUCUAUUUUUUCUUUAGGGACUGCAGUUAGAAUAUCGUCAACAUAUCGGAAGUAGAAGGGUAAA